CUGGUAUUGCAAACAGGCUGACCAGACACCAAGUAUGAAACAUUGGGACAAGGAGUGGGGGGUAAUAGGAGCCUAUAGAAGAAAAAGGCCCAAAUAUCAGGACU